rnacentral:rRNA from 1 species
CGCGCAGGCGGAUGGUUGCGUCCGGAGUGAAAUUUCGCCGCUCAACGGCGAAGCUGCUUUGGAUACGGACCGUCUAGGGACCGGUAGAGGCUGGUAGAAUUGCAGGUGUAGCGGUGGAAUGCGUAGAGAUCUGCAAGAAUACCCGUGGCGAAGGCGGCCAGCUGGGCCGGAUCCGACGCUGAGGCGCGAAAGCGUGGGAGCAAACA